GCUACUGAAUCACAGGUUUGUCUCUGAAUUGAACGAUUUCCGAUUUGGUUUUCAUGCAUCCUUAAUAUUCAAACUAAUAUUCCAUGUCUAGCUUUCAAUUGAACGAGUUCAGAGGAAUCGAUAACUAAGGAAUCUCAGGUUCCCCAAUUCUCCCCCAAUGCUCCCCCAAUGCUCCCCCAAAACCCCUAAAGCCGUAUACAAAUCAGUCCACAAACUCACAAAGUCCCAAGAAAUAAAUAUUACAAAACACUAAAAAAAUUUACAGGUGUCUUCUGUCGUCAUCCACGUAGAAGCCGUCAAAAGAGGAUUUUGUCGUCACCCACAAAGGGCGUCGCCUCCUGAAACACAAGAAAGAAACUUCGUAUCAAAGGUAUACCAUUCACAAACAUCCCUAUUUUCGAUCAUUCACAUGUCACUCAUAUUUUCAGCUCACGCAUAUGAAUAUGUUUGUUAUGCUAUGUUGUUUAAAGCCAGUUUUAAAUGAAUGAAUAAUCCAUCUUAGCAAACAAUGGACUAAACAAUAAAAUAAACAUACUUAAACAAAUAAAAGUUGUUGGAAAUUACAUUUACAAGAGAUUAAAAGACCAUAUAUCAUCAGUUUCACACCAUUUACGCCAAGAACUCACAACAUAGUUAUGAAAUUAAGCUAAAAAUAUAUUUUUCUAUUAAACAUCAUUGCUGGAAUUUUAUCAAGGAUGACAAAAUAAUCAAAUUUUCAAGCAAAUGGGUAGUUUUUAGGGUGUCCAGAUUACUAAGUUCAUCUUAACAACAAAAUAGUCAAGUUUUAUUUGUUUCAAGUGACCUAAUCAACAACAAAACUACAACCAUCUACCAAGCAAAAUAAGAACAUAUGGAGACUAAUUGUUUUACUUUUCAGAGACAAUCUUUUCCCUUUCCUCCCAAUUUUCUAAAACAAGUCGGUUCUACCCAUUUUCGUAGACAUGAAAAAAAUCAAAAAAAUCGUCAUUCAGUUUCGUUAUCAACUAAACAGAGACUAAUAAAAAGAAACAUGACAUAAUUUUUUUUACCUAACACUCUUUCUCUCUGUUUGUCUCUUCAACGUUGCCGCUGGCGGUGGGGUCUUUUUUUUCCUGUCCACCGGCAUCCUCCGAUGCAUGCUUGCCCGGAUCCGUUCGAAAUUGAAAAAAUAAAAGAGUGAGGGGACAGAUCGGAGUGGUUACCUUGAUUUCUUUCCAUUGCCUUCGAGGAAGAGACAACGACGGCGCCGUUGUCGCCACCACUGCGAGUGACGAGUGAAGAGCGGAGAAGGGGUGAGCCAAAACAGGGAAAGAGGGAAACAAAGAGGGGGAAGAAAAAAAAAGAGGAAAAAGAGGAGCGGCGAAACUGAGGGGAAGUUGAGGGAAGCAAAGAAGGGAAAAGGAGGAGAAAAGGAGGUGGAGAGGAAAAAAAUAAGGAGAGGAGAAGAAGAACAAGAGAAAGAAAAGAGAGGGGAGAGAGGAGCGGCGUCGCUCCCCCGAUGAAAGGCGGGAGGAAAAGAAUGAGAAGAAGGAGAAAAAGGAGGAGAGGAGGUGAAGAAGGAUAGGAGAAGAAAAAAAGGGAGGAAGGAAAAAAGAGCGAUGAUAGAAUAAAGGAGGGAACGAAGAGGAGAAGUGGAGGAGAGGAAGAGAGCUAGGGCUAGGGCCCAGUUCGAG
rnacentral:lncRNA from 1 species